rnacentral:rRNA from 1 species
GAUGAACGCUAGCGAUAGGCUUAACACAUGCAAGUCGAGGGGCAGCAUGGUCUUAGCUUGCUAAGACUGAUGGCGACCGGCGCACGGGUGCGUAACGCGUAUGCAACUUGCCUCACAGAGGGGGAUAACCCGUCGAAAGACGGACUAAUACCGCGUACACUCCAUCUUGGGCAUCCAAGGUAGAGGAAAUGAAAUUCGCUGUGAGAUAGGCAUGCGUCCCAUUAGCUAGUUGGUGAGGUAACGGCUCACCAAGGCGACGAUGGGUAGGGGAACUGAGAGGUUGAACCCCCACACUGGUACUGAGACACGGACCAGACUCCUACGGGAGGCAGCAGUGAGGAAUAUUGGUCAAUGGGCGAGAGCCUGAACCAGCCAAGUCGCGUGAAGGAUGACUGUCUUAUGGAUGGUAAACUUCUUUUAGACGGGAAUAACAAGAGUCACGUGUGACUCCCUGCAUGUACCGUAUGAAUAAGCAUCGGCUAACUCCGUG